rnacentral:ncRNA from 1 species
CGGCAAACCAGAUGAAAGUCUGGGACGCAAAGCUACAGGGCCUGUAAAAUGGCAGCCAGUUGC